rnacentral:rRNA from 1 species
GAUGAACGCUGGCGGCGUGCCUAAUACAUGCAAGUCGAGCGAACAGAUGAGGAGCUUGCUCCUCUGACGUUAGCGGCGGACGGGUGAGUAACACGUGGAUAACCUACCUAUAAGACUGGGAUAACUUCGGGAAACCGGAGCUAAUACCGGAUAAUAUAUUGAACCGCAUGGUUCAAUAGUGAAAGACGGUUUUGCUGUCGCUUAUAGAUGGAUCCGCGCCGCAUUAGCUAGUUGGUAAGGUAACGGCUUACCAAGGCAACGAGGCGUAGCCGACCUGAGAGGGUGAUCGGCGACCCUGGAACGGAGACACGGUCAAGACUCCUACGGGAGGCAGCAGUAGGGAAUGUUCCGCAAUGGGCGAAAGCCUGACGGAGCAACGCCGCGUGAGUGAUGAAGGUCUUCGGAUCGUAAAACUCUGUUAUGAGGGAAGAACAAAUGUGUAAGUAACUAUGCACGUCUUGACGGUACCUAAUCAGAAAGCCACGGCUAACUACGUG